rnacentral:rRNA from 1 species
GCCUACGGGACGCAGCAGUGGGGAAUAUUGCACAAUGGGGGAAACCCUGAUGCAGCGACGCCGCGUGAGUGAAGAAGUAUUUCGGUACGUAAAGCUCUGUCAGCAGGGAAGAAAAUGACGGUACCUGACCAAGAAGCCCCGGCUAACUACGUGCCAGCAGCCGCGGUAAUACGUAGGGGGCAAGCGUUAUCCGGAUUUACUGGGUGUAAAGGGAGCGUAGACGGUGCGCCAAGUCUGGAGUGAAAUGCCGCAGCUUAACCGCGGAACUGCUUUGGAAACUGGCGCGCUCGCGUGCGGGAGGGGUA